rnacentral:lncRNA from 1 species
ACAUUCCACCAAGCUAGUUCAACCAGAAAACUGAAAAUUUUGAGAAGAUAAUUAAAGAAAAUAGCUAUGUGUCUACCAUAGAAAAAUAUCAAGGAAUAUAGAAGUGGCAAAAUUACAAAGUUGGUUGCAACACUGUGGCUUAUUGCCUUAGAUCAUGAGCUUUGAAAUCACAGUCCUGAUUGUGAACCCUGUAUGUGGCAGUUUGGCAAGUUACUUAAACCUUAGGUUUCUUUAUGUAAAAUGGAAAUACAAAAUAAUAUCUGUUUUGCAGGGUUGUUGUGAAGCUUAAGAGAAUUACUAUAUAAAAUGCUUAACAUGUAGGGAGAAUUCAAUAAAUAUCCACUGUUAUUAGGCUAACAGAAAAAUCACAGAUCCUCAUACUAUCAUCAAUCAUGCUCACUUAUUUUAAUGGAAGAAAUAUGAUUAUAAUUCUGGUCUACACCUGAGGUGGGCAAGGGGAAGUAUGCGUGUAAAGUCUUCACCAUAUAUGUACAUAUAGAUUGGCAGUGGAAGUCUGGGAUUUAGUCAACUGGACCGGUACAUUCCUAAUUUCCUUAAAUCACCAGGUGGAUGCCUUCCUCUCUGACUUUGCUCACAAUAUUGCAUCUAUAGAAAGGAUUCUAUUUUCCUCUUCCUUCCCAUUUAUCUAAAUCUUUAACAUCCUUUAAAAUUCACAUUGUAUUUCCUUCCUUUGGGAACUUUCUUCCCUAGACAGACCAGUUUGCCCCGCCUAAGCGGACUUCCUCUGAGCUCCUUGCUUCUGUCUUUCAUUUUGCUCUUAUAAAUGGACUUGAUCUGUUACUUCUCUUUUCAAAAGUUUACAUGCUUCUGUUUAACUAGGUUUAAACUCCUUAGAGGCAGUGACCAUGUCUCACAGAGCCUAGCGUGCCUGAUAAAAAGGUUGGUUGUUUGGUGUCAGUGGGUACUGUACUUGAUGACACAUUCUGAGUUCCCACCAUCAUUUUAUCCUUUGUAUUGCCUCCUACUAUUCUGUGAUUGCAAAAGAACUCAAUAUUCUUUAAGUCAUUCUUUUAAGGUCAAACUCUGUGUGUGGCUAACAUGCAAUCGACCUCUGGCAUGAACAAUUUUCUAUUUUAAAAAUUAGUGUAUUCAUAAGCAUAGUCAUACUAGAAAAAAAAAUUUUUUUAAAAAUGAAUGUCACACAGAAUUUAAAUACAAACAGAGGAAUACACACGAGGAAGGGAA